rnacentral:rRNA from 1 species
CCUACAGGUGGCAGCAGUCGAGAAUCAUUCACAAUGGGGGAAACCCUGAUGGUGCGACGCCGCGUGGGGGAAUGAAGGUCUUCGGAUUGUAAACCCCUGUCAUGUGGGAGCAAAUUAAAAAGAUAGUACCACAAGAGGAAGAGACGGCUAACUCGGUGCCAGCAGCCGCGGUAAUACAGCGGUCUCAAGCGUUGUUCGGAAUCACUGGGCUUAAAGCGUGCGGUGGCUGUUUCGUAAGUCGGGUGUGAAAGGCGCGGGCUCAACCCGCGGACGGCACAUGAUACUGGGUGUCUAGAGUAUAGGAGGGGUAAGCGGAAUUCUCGGUGUAGCAGUGAAAUGCGUAGAUAUCGAGAGGAACACUCAUGGCGAAGGCAGGUUCCUGGACAUUAACUGACGCUGAGGCACGAAGGCCAGGGGAGCGAAAGGGAUUAGAUACCCUUGUAGUC